rnacentral:rRNA from 1 species
AUUGAACGCUGGCGGCAUGCCUUACACAUGCAAGUCGAACGGCAGCACGGGUGCUUGCACCUGGUGGCGAGUGGCGAACGGGUGAGUAAUACAUCGGAACGUACCUUAUCGUGGGGGAUAACGCAGCGAAAGCUGUGCUAAUACCGCAUACGCCCUGAGGGGGAAAGCGGGGGAUCGAAAGACCUCGCGCGAUUAGAGCGGCCGAUGCCUGUUUAGCUUGGUGGUGGGGUAAAAGCCCACCAAGGCGACGAUCAGUAGCUGGGCUGAGAGGACGAUCAGCCACACUGGGACUGAGACACGGCCCAGACUCCUACGGGAGGCAGCAGUGGGGAAUUUUGGGCAAUGGGGGCAACCCUGAUCCAGCAAUGCCGCGUGAGUGAAGAAGGCCUUCGGGUUGUAAAGCUCUUUUGUCAGGGAAGAAACACCGGCUCUAACACAGUCCGGGAAUGACGGUACCUGAAGAAUAAGCACCGGCUAACUACGUGCCAGCCGCCGCGGUAA